rnacentral:rRNA from 1 species
CCUUACACAUGCAAGUCGAACGGCAGCACGGGAGCAAUCCUGGUGGCGAGUGGCGAACGGGUGAGUAAUAUAUCGGAACGUGCCCAGUCUGGGGGAUAACGUAGCGAAAGCUACGCUAAUACCGCAUACGAUCUAUGGAUGAAAGCGGGGGAUCGCAAGACCUCGCGCGAUUGGAGCGGCCGAUAUCAGAUUAGGUAGUUGGUGAGGUAAAGGCUCACCAAGCCGACGAUCUGUAGCUGGUCUGAGAGGACGACCAGCCACACUGGGACUGAGACACAGACCAGACUCCUACGGGAGGCAGCAGUGAGGAAUAUUGGACAAUGGGCGCAAGCCUGAUCCAGCCAUGCCGCGUGCAGGAUGACGGUCCUAUGGAUUGUAAACUGCUUUUAUACAGGAAGAAACACUCCGACGUGUCGGAGCUUGACGGUACUGUAAGAAUAAGGAUCGGCUAACUCCGUG